GUCCUCGUAGCUCAAUAGCGGAGCGCCGGGUUGUCAACCCGGAGGGUGUGGGUGCGAGUCCCACCGGGGGCGC
rnacentral:tRNA from 1 species